rnacentral:rRNA from 1 species
AUUGAACGCUGGCGGCAGGCCUAACACAUGCAAGUCGAACGAGUGGCGGACGGGUGAGUAAUGUCUGGGAAACUGCCUGCUGGAGGGGGAUAACUACUGGAAACGGUAGCUAAUACCGCAUACCAUCAGAUGUGCCCUGAUGGGAUUAGCUUGUUGGUGGGGGAACGGCUAACCAGGGCGACGAUCCCUAGCUGGUCUGAGAGGAUGACCAGCCCACAUGGAAUGGGGACACGGUCCAGACGCCUACGGGAGGCAGCAGUGGGGAAUAUUGCAUAAUGGGCGAAAGCCUGAUGCAGCCAUGCCGCGUGUAUGAAGAAGGCCUUCGGGUUGUAAAGUACUUUCAGCGGGGAGGCGUUACCCGCAGAGGAAGCACCGGCUAACUCCGUGCCAGCAGCCGCGGUAAUAC